rnacentral:lncRNA from 1 species
UUUUAAUUUUCUUUUAUUUAUGUCUAGCUGUUGCUUCUUCUGCUACAACUGCUGCUUCUUCUGUUACAAGCUCGAAGUCAUGGGAAGAUUUCCGAAAGUAUCGCUCCCAGCAUCCAGGCCCUCUAUCUAUGAGGGCCUUCCAUCGCUGGUGUUUGUAUGGGGACGACCAUCCCUCCUUUAGAUGG